rnacentral:rRNA from 1 species
GCCUACGGGGGGCAGCAGUAGGGAAUAUUGCUCAAUGGGGGAAACCCUGAAGCAGCAACGCCGCGUGGAGGAUGAAGGUUUUCGGAUUGUAAACUCCUUUUGUUAGAGAAGAUAACGACGGUAUCUAACGAAUAAGCACCGGCUAACUCCGUGCCAGCAGCCGCGGUAAUACGGAGGGUGCAAGCGUUACUCGGAAUCACUGGGCGUAAAGAGCGCGUAGGCGGGAUAGCAAGUCAGAUGUGAAAUCCUAUGGCUUAACCAUAGAACUGCAUUUGAAACUGUUAUUCUAGAGUAUGGGAGAGGUA